GGCGGCGUGCCUAACACAUGCAAGUCAACUUGACUGAAGGAGCAAUCUGACAGUAGAGUGGCGCAAGGGUGCGUAACGCGUAAGUAACUUGCCCAAGGUAAGGAAUAACGUCGAGAAAUCGGCGCUAAUACCUCAUAAUGCAGCGGAUCCGCAUGGAUAUGUUGUUAAAGGUUUACCGCCUUGGGAUAGGCUUGCGUCUGAUUAGCUAGUUGGUGUGGUAACGGCACACCAAGGCUACGAUCAGUAACUGGUCUGAGAGGAUGAUCAGUCACACUGGAACUGAGACACGGUCCAGACUCCUACGGGAGGCAGCAGUGAGGAAUAUUGGGCAAUGCUCGAAAGAGUGACCCAGCAACGCCGCGUGGAGGAUGAAGGUAUUCUAUAUCGUAAACUCCUGUGAGAGCAGACGAAAGACAGAUUAUUAAUCUGGAUGACUGUAUGCUCAGAGGAAGCCCCGGCCAACUACGUG
rnacentral:rRNA from 1 species